GCCUGGAUGGCUCAGUCGGUUGAGUGUCUGACUUCAGCUCAGGUCAUGAUCUCACACUCUGUGAGUUCAAGCCCCACAUUGGGCU
rfam:Felis catus isolate Cinnamon breed Abyssinian chromosome A2, whole genome shotgun sequence.